rnacentral:tRNA from 1 species
GCCUCUGUAGCUCAAUGGAAGAGCAGUUCCGUCCUAAGGAAAGGGUUGGGGGUUCGAGUUCCUCCAGGGGCACCA